rnacentral:lncRNA from 1 species
CCUCAGGCCCCGCCUCCUCCAGGUCGACUUUCCAGGCGAUUACUCUAUAAAAUCCGAGGCUGGCCAGAAGUAUCUUGUCAGGCUUUCUCGGACUGCUGAAAUUCCUGGAAAAUGGAGGCUUUACUUAGUUGAAUCAGGAAGGCGCCGGCUAUGGGGAAAAAAAAAGUCAAGUUUUCAGACGGGACCCUUUGCUUGCAAUAACAUUAAGUUGGGUAGCAGGUGCUGGGCAAGUGGCUGUACGAUUCCUUAUGCCGAAAAGCUGAUUAAUGUUAAGCAACUGCUGACCUGACGGUUCAGGAAGUUUUGCUGAGCUUCUUAUGAAAAACUCCCAGUGAGGACUGUGUGUCAAAAACCAGAGGUCUUGAACCCAACCAAUGACUCAAGCUGAUGGAACAAAGGAGUAUACUCUAUGACACUGAAGCCUCCAAUACCAUCAGGAUGGAUAAAGAGAAUCUCCCUGUGUAGCCUUGGCUGUCCUGGAACUCACUCUAUCAAACAGGCUGGCCUCAAACUCAUGAAGAUCUGCCUGUCUCUCCCUCCCAAGUACUGGGAUAUUAAAGGCAUGUACCAUGACUGCCUGUUUUCCAUCUAUCUUCUCAUAGCCACUUGUGUAGUCAUUUAACUCUUUGCAUACAUCUUCUCCUGACAUAUAUUCCUUUUGUAGUAGACUUUGUUUUUUGACACACCCCAAUGAUAAACACCUAGUAGAAAUGUACCAAACAUUGGUUAAUAUGAACAAGUUCAUAGUAUUUGUGUGUGUAAGCCAGGGUUCAGUGAAAUGAUUGAAU